rnacentral:rRNA from 1 species
GUGUCAGCCGCCGCGGUAAUACGGAAGGUGCGAGCGUUAAUCGGAAUUACUGGGCGUAAAGCGCACGUAGGUGGCUUGGUAAGUCGGAUGUGAAAGCCCCGGGCUCAACCUGGGAACGGCAUUCGAUACUGCUGAGCUAGAGUACGAAAGAGGGGGGUGGAAUUCCAGGUGUAGCGGUGAAAUGCGUAGAGAUCUGGAGGAACACCGGUGGCGAAGGCGGCCCCCUGGUUCGAUACUGACGCUGAGGUGCGAAAGCGUGGGGAGCAAACAGGAUUAGAAACCCUAGUAGUCC